UACAGAGGGUGCGAGCGUUAAUCGGAAUUACUGGGCGUAAAGCGUGCGUAGACGGUUUCGUAAGUCGGGUGUGAAAUCCCCGGGCUCAACCUGGGAAUUGCAUUCGAAACUGCGAGGCUAGGGUACGGAAGAGGGAAGCGGAAUUUCUGGUGUAGCGGUGAAAUGCGUAGAUAUCAGGAGGAACACCGGUGGCGAAAGGCGGGUCUCUGGGCAGUAACUGACGCUGAGGAGCGAAAAGCGUGGGGGAGCGAACAGG
rnacentral:rRNA from 1 species